CAACACCCGCUCAGAUGAAGCACCUAAGAGUAUCAGCGAUAAACACUGCUUUAGAGAGUCUGAGAUUCUGAGUGGGAGAAUUUCUCAGGAUGCUACAAAGGGUACAAUCCAACAUCAUUAUACAAGUAUAUCAUCUAUCUGAGAAG